AUGUUAUUUUAGCUCUCUCCGACAAAACGAAAACGAAAAGAUGUCGUAAAUUGUUUGUAGUUUUAAGGUAAAAUGUAGUUUUUUCUUUCUUCUUCUUCUUCGAAAGGAGCUGCUGCUAACAUGCAGGCCAUUAAGUUUAUUAACUUCUAUCGUAGCAUCGAACUCUAUCUACUACUGUAGGAAUGACGAUUUUGGCCCUCUUUUUUUUCGUUUAUAGAUUCUUAUUUGAUGUUUCUCUUGUAAAAGUAUUUAACCUUUGGCUUCUAUUUAAUUUGUACAAUAUUUAUUUUUCUAUAUGGUUUUAUUUUUCUUUUCUAGUGUGGUACAGAUGUACAAAUACAUCCAUGUGCGGUGAAUGUAAUGUUAUGAUGCUUAUAGAAGAAUAUUUUGUAUUAUGGUGCUUAAAAUAAAUAUUGAUAACUAAUGGUGCAUAUAAUAAUUAUAAUUGUAUGACGAACUAAAGCUAACACGAGCUCAAGAAGUUGUCGAAGAUCUCGACUUUUAACAUUUUCAACUAGAACAUGGUUCCUUGUACUCGAAUGCUGAAAUAUUUGUCAUUUUGGGUUGUUGCGCGAAAGCAAUAUAAUUUUAUUUGACUAAUAUAGUCUUAUCGUUAAUUAUUCUAUUAAUUAAUUAUCUUUCAACUAAUUAACACAUGAUACAGAGCAAAGUUACGAAAAUUGUAGUUGGUAGAGCAAGAGAGAGAUGCCAAAUGAAUCGAGUUUUUGAGUCUCUUUGUAAACACUUUCUUGGUCGUGUUUAGCACACAUAACUUGCGCCUAAUGUGAUUUAUAUCUCAGUGUGAUUUGUAAGCUAUUGCACGAGAGUGAAGAAUUUCGCAAUGCAUUUACAUGAUCGGUUCCUUAAUUAAAAAAAAAAAUUGAUUUUUGAGCUAGUUUUUCUAUAUCAUAUAGUUGAAAAUGAUAAUUCUAUUGUUUUAUUUUAUGAAUGCGUAUUACAUAUGUAUUAAUGUCAACGCAAUAUAUAUAUCCAAUCUUUUAUUUUAUCGUAAAUCAGCACCGAAUACAGUCAGUCAGUUAUUCAGAACUAUAAUAUCUAACGAUUCGAGUUCGAUUUUCUCUGUCAACACUUUUUAGGUCGAACUCGUCGCACAUGACUUGGCUAAAGCAAUUUACACAUCUCGUGUGAUUUGCGUAACCGCACGAGAGUAGAGUUUACCUAUCGCACGUCUACACGCAUACUCCACAAAAUUCAACCGAAAAACUCGUCUACACAAUCUUUAUUUGAAGAUCACAUGUUUAAGGUAAAGAAUAACAUUUUUGACAUAAAUUGACAUAAUUGUCUCUUUGUUUACAUUUGAAUGUUGUCAUCUUAUAUCAAAAGCUAUUCUAUUGGCCCCUCACUUUAUAUUUAAAUAAUAUUUAAUUGUUUGGUUCAAAUAAUUCCAAGAACAAGGAAUCUGAUUAUUUUAUAAACUAUUACCCUAAUCAAUACUUACCAGGUAAAUCACUCAAACUAACUACUCCACUAUGAAAAGAGGAUUAGUGAAAUAAGUGAAAUAAUAGUAAUAAAGGGCGGUCAGUUGACCAAAGUUCGAAUUUCUUUUUUAAUAUUUUCUAGGUCAAUCUAAUGUAAUUUAUAUUUAUGUGGUUUGCAAAUUAUUAUACUAUAAUCGAAUUUUUAUGGUGCACUUCGAGUGAAUGCGUGUUGGUUCUUUUAUAAUAACUAGCAUUUUUCUCCCAUGCGAUGCACGGGAUAUUAUUUAAAUAAUGAAAAAAAAUAAUAAUCAAUUUAAUACAUAAUAAGAAAAUAUAGUACACUAAUAUAGUAAAAUUUAAUAAUGUAAUAUUAUUCAUAUUUUAUAUAAAUGGACUAAGAUUUAACAAAUCGAAUUUCUAGCUUUAUCUCUUAAGAUUUGAGAUAUAUUGAUGAAACAUAGGAGAUUAAUAAUUGCUGAAAAUUAUAGUUAAAAAAUGAGUACAAAAAAAUAUUAAAAAUAAAUAAUUAUAUAAGUAGCAAUAAGGUAGGAUUCUUCACGGGUUAGUUUUAAUUUUGAUAAUUGUUAAAAAUUAUAGUUAGAAAUUAGUAGCAAAAAAAAUAAUUAAAAAUAAAUAAUUAUAAAAAUAUCAUUAGGAUUUUUAAGGGUUGCCUUUCUUUCUUUUAUAUAUAAGAUAAUAAUAAAUAAAUAAAUAAAUAAAAAGAAAAAUGUAUAUGUGUAUAUUAUUAUGUUAAAUUACAAAAACCACCUCCACCUAUUUGUAAUUAUAAAAAAAAACCUGAUGUUUGUUUCCAUCUUAUACCAACCAUUUACAGUGUGAUUUUUUGUCCUUUUUUUUUUUUUUUUGAUUUCAGGGGAUAUUUUCUUUUAUUUCUCACCUAUUUGACAAAAUAUAUAAUAGAUUGUAUACAUUUUCGGUUAAAAAAACUCGAUCCACAGUUAAUUAGAGUGGAAUUUUAGUUAUUAGAGAUAGGUUUAGGUAUUUUUCGUUAUUUAGCCUAAGUUAAGGGGUGUUUUUUUUAAUUUAGCCAUAUUAUUAUGAUGUUGGAUCGUCGCUUUCACGCGGACUUUGUAGUGAUCUUUGACAUCACACAGAUGACAGAAGCCCCCAAUUUCUUCUUAUUUCUAUCCCCAUAAAACAAACCACAAUUAAAUUGGUUAUUUUACAAGAAGCCCAGAUCACAAAAUCACUCAAAUUAUCAGAAAAAUUCAAUCUUUAUUGUUUUAAUUCAUCAGAAAUUAUGCAUUCGUCGCUGUAUUAUUCGGAGCAGGCGAACCUGCAAUUUCCGGAGCAAGAAUACCCGAAAUGCCCCCGGUGUGAUUCCGCCGACACCAAAUUCUGCUACUACAACAACUACAACCUCUCCCAACCGCGCUACCUAUGCAAGAGCUGCAAACGCUACUGGACCAAGGGCGGCGCGUUGAGGAACAUCCCCGUCGGCGGCGGUGGCGGAGGCUCUAGAAAGACCGCCGCGAAGCGCACCUCCUCCUCCUCCCCCGCCUCCCCCUCCGCCGCCAAACGCCCUGCUUCAGCAGCCGCGGCAGUAUCGGCAUCUAACGACACCAGUAACAGCAGCAGCAGCAACAACGGCGGCGGUGGUGGAAUGGGUGAAAAUUUGAUUUUUGGGGGGCAGUUUGGGAAUUUUAUGGAUGCAUGUGGGAGUUUCAAGGGAGAGUUUGGUAAUUUGCUUGAUGGGCUGGAUGACUCGAGUUUGCUGAUGAGUGGUGGUGAUCGUCGGCGGCAAUUUGGUGAUCCGGGUUCGGGUCGGAAUUCGGAUCCUCUAAACGGGUUGGAGAGUGGCGGCGAUGCUGAUGGAUUCUUGAACAUUCACGGCGGCGGCGGCGGUGGCUGGCCUGAUCUUUCUAUCCACACACCUGGGUCCACUUCUCAAUAAUAUGAAGCUGAUUAAAUUCACAAAAAUAAGAUUUUUAUUUUUUAUUUUUAUUUAUUAGUGGGGCUAUAUUAAUUAAUCUCGACUAUUAAGGAAUCUAAUUAUGAUUGUAUAAUUACGAUGAAUUUAAAUUAUAUUUUAUUAAUAUUAAUACUUUAGUACUUUACUAAAAGAACAAACAAUUUUGACACUAUGUGAUUUUUGAUUCUAUUUUAAUAUUGAAGCAUUGUUGGUUCUUUUUGUAUUGAAUGAAUAAAAAUAGUUUAAUAAGGUCGUUAUCUAAAUAUUUUAAAAGUUAAUUGUAAAAAUAAAAUAUAGGCGGCGGUUAUAUGCAAGCCCAUUUUUUUAUUAGUUCAAACCCACAUAAAGGAGUUUAUUAGUUCAAGCCCGUAAAUUAAUCUAAUUUUAUUACAUCCAGACCAAAGAGGACAAAUAUACCCUUAUUCACAAAUAAUACUCAAAUACAAAUAAAUCCUAUUUUUAAUUUGUUCAAGACCAAAAAAUAAAAACAAAAACAAAAAAACAAAAAGAAAAUAUCACGACUUUUGUUUGUAAAUUCGAAAACAUUAGUCGAGCAUCGAUCUUAAUAAAUAUGUAUGGAUGAACAUUAAUCUAUGCUUAUUUCUUGAUGGGUUGCAAUGCUUUGGCCGAUUUUGGAAAAAAAAAUUGAGAUUGAAAUUGGUUUUUUUUUUUUUUUUUCCGUUGGUUUCCCAAAUCGGUUUACCCAGACCGAUUUUGUACAUGAAAAUCGGCGUCACAAUGCCGAUUUUUAUUAACCAAAUCGGCGACACAACGUCGACUUUACAAGUUGAAAUCGGCGUUCUAAUGUCGAUUAUUGAGUACAAAAUCGGUUUUCGGAUACCGAUAUUUUUCGGAUUUUUUUAAUAAUAUUGUAUAUUUGGUUAAUUGAUAUUUUUUAAAUAUUUGAAACGAAAAUGUUUAUCACCAUUCGGUGAUAUCUACGAACUACUUUAACCCAAUCGAGUAGAGCUUUCCGUGUCUCAAAUAUUUAUUCGUUGGAUAAUUCAUUUGAAUAAUUUUCCAUCAAUCCCUUAGGUUGCUACACGAAAGUAUGGGAAAACGGUCUUAGAAAAACACAGAUAAUAAAAUCGGUACUUAAAAACCGAUUUUUGUAGUAUAAGUCGGCAUGCCAAUACCGAUAAUACAAAAACAAAUCGGUGUUGUCAUGCCGAUUUGUACUACAAAAAUCGGUUUUUAAGUACCGAUUUUCUAUUAAAAAAUCGGAAUGUGGUUACCGACUUUAGUAACAAAAAUCGGUAUUUGCAGACCGAUUUUUGGUAUCGUCGAAUUUUUUUCCCAAAAAAAAUAUCGACCCAAAAGCAAAAAUAAACGGUUAAAACAUAUUUCAUUGUGUUCUCCACCCUUGUAAACCACCAUAUCAUUGUUUCCUGGUUCCAUCGUGAAUGUUUGGUAUGUAUAUGAUAAUUUUGGUGUGUAGAAUCUCUUGGUGGGUUUGUGAAAAAUAAGGAGGAUGAGAUUUUUAAGUCGUGAAAUAAUGAAGAGGUGUUCAUAGAUUUAUGUAUUUUAUUUGGUCUUGCAUAAAUGAAAUGAUUUUUUUUUUUUUUUUUGAAUAUUUUGUGUUUUUUAUUUGAUUUUAAAAUUUAUUAAGGGUAAAUUAGUAUUUUUAUGUUGAAAGUCUUGAACUAAUAAAAAAAUGGGCUUGCAUAUAACCGUCGUCUAAAAUAUAACAGUUUUUAUAUUUUAAUACAACUUAUUAGAUGUAAGGGUUUAUUAUUUAAAAUAAGUUUAGCCAAAUGAGUAUUGUAAGAGUGUAAAUCGGACGGAUCGGAUCGGAAUUAGCCUUUUCGGAAAAAUUCUGAUUUUCUUUUUGAAGAGGAAACCUAGUUUCAAUUUCGUUCCGAAAAAAAUCGGAAUGAAAAAUUGGAAAAAUUCGGAUCGAAAUCGGCGGAAUUCAGAAUUUUUCAAUAUUUGCUCACCUUAAGUAAAAAUCAGAAUUAUUUUCGAACUUUAAUCGAAUCGAAAAUCGGAAUCCUCAUAUAUAUUCCAAUAACGAUCCAAAUAGUUUAGAAAAAAAUAGAAGUCAAUUAUUCCAAAAUCAAAAAAAUUCGAAUCAAAAUCGACGAAAAUCGAAAUUUUCGUUUCAAUUUCAAUGUGGGCCAAUAAGUUAUAAGUCCCAUAGCCCAUGGUAUUUCAAUGUGCCACAAAAUUACUCCUCUUUGGACUAUUUGGAGUUCAAAUUAUAUUGGGCCAAACAUAAUAUUUCGUAUCAUAUUCUUUAAAAGUGUAAUAUUCAUAAAUAAUUCAACUUUAUUUCAAUCUUACAAAAAGAAAUUGUGUUUAUUUUUACCUCUCCCAAUUAUUCGUUGCUAUUCGAAUUUUUGUUCUUCAUAUUGUUUGUCACCUUAAAAUUCCAAUGACGCAUUAAACACAAAUUUUCUCCAUCUGUUAUACUAAACCUCAAAUACUAUUCAAUUAUUCCCCCUUAAACGAUAAAAGUUAUUUUAGUUUUUGUUAUAUCUGUUCUAAGAUUAAAGUCGUAUGCCGAAUAACUUUUCUAAUACGUAUAUAACACGUUAAUCGGAGGGAAUAUUGUUCAAUUAUUUUUUAGGCUUUAUCAAAAUAUUCAUGUAUAUACUCAUUAAGCACAAAACACCUACAUAAUUUCAUAAUUGUAGGAUAAAACUCAAAUUAAUAAUUAAAAAAGAAAAUUGAGAUAAACAAUUAAAGAAAAAUAGAAAUAUGAAGGGGCCCCACAAGAUAAGGUUUAGUAGAUAUUGGGUAAUGAUGAACAAUAAUGCAAUGAAAAAGUAGUAGGCCAUGGGAGCUCGUGGGGAAGAAACUUACCCACAUCUUAUAUAAUAAAUAUAAAAUAUAUCUUAUGAUUUUGUUCCAACUAUUUAGGGGAAAGACCUAAUUUUGCAUUUCCUCUUUUUGGACCACCAAAAAUUUGCCCAUGUGGAUAUAUAGUAAAAGAGGGAAUUUUUAACAAUAUAUAUAUAUAUAUAUAUAUAUAUAUAUAUAUAUAUAUAUAUAUAUAUAUAUAUAUAUAUAUAUAUAUAUAUAUAUAUAUACAGUGAGAUAUAGAUAUAUAUAGUAUCUAUAUAUAUAGAGUACAUAUAUAUAUAUAUAUAUAUAUAUAUAUAUAUCUAUAGAUAUCUAUAUAUAGAUAUAUAUAUAUAUACGUAUAUAUAUAUAUAUAUAUAUAAAUAAAUAUGUAUAUAUAAAUAUAUAAAUAUAUAUAUAUAUAUNNNNNNNNNNNNNNNNNNNNNNNNNNNNNNNNNNNNNNNNNNNNNNNNNNNNNNNNNNNNNNNNNNNNNNNNNNNNNNNNNNNNNNNNNNNNNNNNNNNNAUUAAUCAAAUUCAAUUUUUCUCGCUCUAUCUCAGAGUAUCCAUUCACCCGAAAUUCAUGUGCUUCCAUUUCCAUUUUCCGUAAGCUGGCCCGAGCUUUUUCCAGCUGUUACGUUCAAUGGCCUUGUAUUCAAGAUCCUCUGUUUUCGAUUAUCUAAGUAGAUUAUCUUUCCGUUCAUUUUAAAACUUCCAUUAUCCCUUCCCAAACCAAACAUGAAUCUGUCGAUUCAUUUGACUCUCAUGCUCAAUUACUUCGGGUAAAUUCUCAUAGUUUUUUUUUUAUUAAUGUAAUGAGCCUAUCUUCUCUUCUUUAUUUUUUUUCAUAGCAUAGUCAAAAAGAAAAAAAAAAAACGAACACUUGGUGGAGCUUGUUGCACAUGGUUAACCUAGUGUGGUUUGUGUCUCUCGUACAGUAUACAAAUUAUAAUAGAAGACUUUAGAUUUUACCUGGUGCACCUAUAGAGUAGGCUUGGGAUUCGUUGAUUAAAAAAAGAGGGAUCCAUGUUAGAAAUUUAUCGUACAUACAUACGAAUUCCCAAGAACCAACAUGCUUGAAUCAACGAGAAUUAAACACAAACAUAAACACGGAAGCGUACCUUACACAAUUGAAUCGAAUCUUCGAAUCUCCACUGGAUUUGGGAUAGGCCUUCCAAAGAAUCCGCAGUUCCUUAUUUGUCUCUCUAACGAUGGAUUUUAGAAGAGACGGAAUGAUUGCGUUUCUUUGGGGACCACGACCCUUUAUAUAACUGUAGAGUCCAGUUAUAUUAUAAUUGUGAUUCAGCCCCAUCAAUAAAUCACAAUUAAACCCUAAUUGUCUCUACACAUUAGGCCCAUAAUUAUAGUCUAAUACCCAUAAGUCCAACCCAAUAAUCUUUAUUAGAUCACAAUUAAUUUGGACUUUCUUUUAGAUAGCCAUACACAUUUACGUUACAUAUGUGAGCCCACAUAAUUAUUGAAAUAAUUCCAACAAUCUCCCACUUGGGCCACAUAUGCUAUAUAUCUUAUAAAUGUGUACACCUUAUGAGCUCAAAUAUUGCUAUCAUAUAAAAAGGUAUUCCUUACAAUCUCGUCCAUUGACCAUACUGAUAUAGGACUAAAGAGGCUUUCGUCACAUUGAGCGUGUCUAAACCCAACAGUAAUCACGUAAACCAAUAUAGCCAAACGACAUAGAUCAAAUCAUGGUGUGUAGCAUGGAAAUUACAUAUAAUGUGAUCUUAACAUGCCUAUUUCCAACUGGUCCUACUUUAAACUUUAUUGAGACCAAACAUUUACAUAAUUAUACAAAGUGUAGCCAAAUACUUUAUUUCUGCAGAAAACCAAAUACACAAAAUUGUGUCCAAACAUAUCAUAGAGCUACCAAAAUGUAUUUAUAUGUACACAUACACACAAACUCCCACUGACCCAAAAUAUUCUUAAAUGAUAUAACACCUACAUGAGCAAUGCUCAUGAAUACCUUAUGUGUUAAUCCUUUAGUAAGCGGAUCCGCAAUUGUGGAGUUUAUCUUAAUAUGCUCUAUGUACUGUUCACUUUGUACCUUUAACAACAAAGAACUUUUCACAAGCUCUUGUUGUUGUUCGAAAGUAUAGCUGUUAAAUAUUGUCACCGUAUAACUUUAAUACAAAUCAACAUGUGCAGCCUAAUGACAAGUGUUUAUAGCUAUAUUAAAAAUAAGAUGCCAAAAAAUUACCAUAAAUUCUUAACCAUCGUGAAAAGAGCUUAAAGUGUUUGCUUAACACCCAUGUCGAAAUAGCUCAAUCACUUAGGUCUACAUUAACCAAAAUGGAUCUAUACUUUAUACGCAUCAUAAAAAAAAUCAAAAUCAUGAAUAAACCACACGAUCUCCCAAAAUAUAUGAUUUUGAUAAAUGAGCAUAUGUAUAUAAAUUACAUUCCCUAUAAUUACUGUAUAACCCAUUUGGCUGCUUUGCUAAAUGAUCCACUUUAUAGGGUUAUUCAUAUAUCUGCCUAACUUUAUGCACACCUUAACCAAAUGCGUACAUUCUUUUAUUUAAAAAUAUUUAUUGGGCAUUGAAAUGAGACUAAACAAGCCUCAUUUAUUGUGAGAUUAUCUCCCACUGAUCCUUGGGUAUGUACAAUCAUUAACUUUAUUUAUCUCAAAGUACAUAUGAGAUAAUUAUAAGCUUAGGAUUGUAACAUCAUUAACGGGAAUUUUAAUUUCCUUAAUGGACUACUUUAGUUUGCAAUCAAUAUCCUUCAAAUCUUUAAAAUUUUAUGGUUGCACUUUAUUGUUCCAAAAAUAUUACUAUUUGAGAAACAUAUUCCUUGUGUCCAUAAAUCUCUUAAAUAGAGUCGAUAGGAGUGAAAUAUUUAAUGACUAAACGUACCAUAUAUCUUUCAAUAUUGCCCAUUUGAAUUACAUUUGGUCUCAAUUAUUUGUAACCAAAGAAAUUCACAGCUUAUGGCUUUUCGAUAAGAUCCUAAUGUCUUGUCAUUCUAAAUUUCAACUCAUCUUUUAAUGCCUUAUCCUCUUAAGGUUGUUGAGUUUGCUCUCAAGUGACUAUUACCAAAGCUUGAUUGGGAAUUGUUCACCAUUGUCUUAUCAAACUCUAAAUCUACUUUUCAACAAUGACUAGUAUAAAAAACAUGUACAUUGUCAAAAGAAGUAUUAGGAAUCGAAUUGAUUCCUCUUUAAAGACAAUGUCUAUAAUCUAAAUUUCUCCCCUCAAACUCAACAUCCUUAAAAGAUUUUAAAUUUCCCGUUUUUAAAAAUAAUAUAUUGCAGCACUUAUGUUUCUCCUAAAUAUACCUUAGUGAAGAAGAAUGACUUAUCAUACUUCUUUGAAUGUCCUUGAAUGUUCUAUUCUUAAAUUUUGUACCAUUUAAAUUGCUUAUGCAAGAUUUUAACGUAAGAGACUUUUACUUAAAUUAUAGGUUAAAUUUUGAAUUAUGAAAUAGGCCAAGCCUAAUGUUUUCAAAUGAACAAGCUAACCGAAUUUGUUCAAGAGAAAAUCUAAAUCCAUCUAAUGAUGGUACCAAAUUCUAUUUCAAAUUCAAAGGAAAACCUAAGAGUCCUUAUAGCCUCAAUCCCAAAUAUCUUACAUAACCUUUAUAGAUGUAUCUUUCAACAUCAAUUGAAAAUUGGUUAUGUAACUAACCCUUAUAUACACACUUACGUGAAUAGUGUAACCCAGGAUCUAUUCACUAAACGUGUCUAGGUACAAAGUCAAGAUAUAUUUUAGAACAAAUUAAAGUGAGAAACAAACAUAAUUACGUUUUUCAACGUACCUGAGAUGUAAACUGCAGUUAUAGAUAUUUAUCUUAAGAUGUACUAGUCAAAUUAGCACUUAGUCUUUUCUCCCUUAAUUAUUUAUUCUUCGUGUGAACGGUCAAAGUUUUAUUAUUUAUGUUUUACAACAAACCUUAUAUUGACCAUUCACGUAGAAAAAUAAAUUAAACCAUAUUCACUUUCAAGUCAGCGAAACCACACUAACUGAAGUGCUAUAACUCAAAAUGAGAUUAGACUAUUACUUAAUAUGCUUACUUAUGUUCCUUUUCUUUAUACCUUAUUUAAACAAUAGAUAUCAAAAUCUAAUUUGUUGCAACUUUAUCGUUUUAAAAUAAAACGUAUCCUUACUAUCUUUAAGGAACCUUCUAGUACGUAGCCCCAAAUUAAACCUUAUGCCCCCAAAAAAUUAUUUAAAAUGGAUGCACCUAAUGAUCUUAAAUUUUAUAAAUAGAACGACGAUAUACUCUAGGUUCUUCUAUUGUUCUAUCCAAAAACAAAUUCAAGAUCUAUGCACCAUAAUAGGUAAUAAUAAAAAUAUUUGUGCAAUUAAGCACAAAGUGUUAUAGGCAGAUAAUGUGUAAGCAUAUAAAUAAAUUAAAUAGAGAACGUAAAUAAAACCAAUAUACUCACAUUAUAAUCCAAAUGUGACUUUUCAAUUUUAAAUAAUUAUGGAGUACAUCUCAAGAUGCCUAGCACAACAUUAAUAUCAUGUCUUUGGACAAUAAUAUUAACUGUAAGUGGCACUCUCGUUGUAGUAAUCAAGUGCUGACGAUAAAUCCUGUCAAAUAAUGAGCCCAUCUUUGGAUGUCACUUAUUAUUCACAUGGAAACUUAACAAUUGUCACGCACUUAUUACCACAGUUGCAUAUGUGGUUCGGCCAAAUAUCAACCUACCUUUGGGUAUAAUUAAAUAUUCGCAUGAAUUCACAUAUACAUAACAUCUUAACAUUCUCAAUAAGCUAAUCUCCACAGAGAGGUCACUUUGGUGGCUUCAUGCUUCAAUCAGUUAUCUUAAAAGUCAGACAACUUAAUAACAAGUCAUUAGAUGUACCCAAAAAAUUAUUUAGAAAUUUAAAGUCGUUGUUGAACGCCAAGGCUCUAAUGACAUCACCUAAGCGCUAACAGGCUGUAUCCAACACUAAGGUUGCCUCACUGUAUUGUUUUCGAAUCAAAUUCAGCAAUAUGGUUAUUCAUAAAAAUGAGUAUGAAUUGAAAACAUCGAAUCCAUCUUUAUUUUGAAUGUGAGCUAAAGAUGGUGUGGGGCUCACAAUUCAAUCUUAUUUAGAUUUAGUGGCCAAAAUAAUUUUUUAACCAAUAAACCUAACCUUAUAUGGAUUGAACUAAAUUAAUAAACUUAAUUAGACUUAAAUAAAAGACUUGAGUCAAAUAUCGAAAAAGUCAAUCCUUAUUUGGUUAAAAAUAACCACUAUCUAUAUUUUGACUUAAUUACGAUGAAAUGACAAUGGAUCAGAAGCUAAUUAAAAAUUAAUUUGUAUCCUUAAUUUUGACCCAUUACUCAAAAAUUUAGUCUAAACGGCAUAAACUUUAUCAUCUGAAAAUUCCCCAAAUUAGCCUUAGAAAACCGAAUUUGAAAUUCAAAAUGAAUUUCACUUUAUUGACCAAACAAAAACUUAAAUGAGUUUAAAAUAAUUCACAUAUUAGUUUGGUCCCUCAAAAUAAUUGAAAUAUUUAAACGGCCCCAAAACCUUAAAUUAACCAUUUUAUUCCUUAAAAAAUUGCACUUGCCCCAAAACCAGAAAAUCUUUCAACUUAAAGGACUGAAUUGAAAUUUCGAAAGAAAAAACCUUUGAGAGAAAAGGGACCUAAGAUUCAGAAAUACUUGAUUUGAGAUUUAUAAUAUAUUUUCGAAAAAUAUGACUGUUUUGAGAGAAACUUUAAAAGCGGGGACUGAAAUGCAGUUUUCAGAAACAUUGAGGGCCCCGAAACAGAUUUUUUUUUUUUUUUUUAUUCUUUCAAAUUGACCCCGGCCCAAAAUCAGGCAUAACCAAGAUACGGGCCAAAUCGAAAUAUUGCUAAAUAUCUUAAACUUAAAUUAGGGAACUGAAUUGCAAUUUUCCGAAACUUAAUUAAUCCUUCUACCCUAAUCUGCCAAUCCCGCCGCCACCACCAUGCCUCAACGCUGAUCAUUGGCUGGCCAGAAAAAUGGCCCCGCCGCGAACGACUAUGGGACCACCAUCCUAAUCGGCCGUACACCACCGCCGGAUACGCAUAACUCACAAGCACCCACGCCACCGAAAUCCACCGUCGGCGCCCCGGCUGCCCCUUCUGCGAAUUAUGCCGCCGUGGCGAGACCGAAGCUCCAUCGCCGCCCGAAACUUUACGACGAAGAAAGCCAUAGGGCCGCCGUCGUCUCAGGUUUGAAACUCUAUGGCGAUGGAGGGUUUUCUUUAUUCCAUAUUCAGAUUCAAGUAACAAAAUUAAACCAAAUGGGAUCUGAAGUCUGAACAUUAAUUGGUGGCAUAGAUUGGAAUUGUGGUCGACAUAAACAGAUGACCGUCGCCCCUAAUUUCACCUUAGAUUUGGAAUUUUCAAAUAUUAACCUUAAAACCUUAAUCCGAAUUUUCAAAUUCAGGGGACCUAAUUUCGGAUUUAAUAUCCGACCGGAAUUUUCAUAAUUAAAUUGACAAAAAAAUAGGUUUCAUAUAAUACUAAAUUCUAGAUCAGCAUAAAGCCCAAUUUUCAGAAAUAUGAAUCCAUGGAAAAAAUAUAUAUAUCACAUAAUACCGAAUUGAAUACUAAUCUUAAAGAGAAUUCCAAUUCAUAUAUGCAGAUUAUUGACCGUAAUUCUUAAAAUAUCAAAUCCGUGAACAUAGAUUUUAUUACGCUGCAACAUAUAUAAUUUAACCCAUGGAAAAUUCUCAAUGAUCCAAAACAUGGUGGCUCUGAUACCACUUGUUAGAAAUUUAUCGUACAUACAUACGAAUUCCCAAGAACCAACAUGCUUGAAUCAACGAGAAUUAAACACAAACAUAAACACGGAAGCGUACCUUACACAAUUGAAUCGAAUCUUCGAAUCUCCACUGGAUUUGGGAUAGGCCUUCCAAAGAAUCCGCAGUUCCUUAUUUGUCUCUCUAACGAUGGAUUUUAGAAGAGACGGAAUGAUUGCGUUUCUUUGGGGACCACGACCCUUUAUAUAACUGUAGAGUCCAGUUAUAUUAUAAUUGUGAUUCAGCCCCAUCAAUAAAUCACAAUUAAACCCUAAUUGUCUCUACACAUUAGGCCCAUAAUUAUAGUCUAAUACCCAUAAGUCCAACCCAAUAAUCUUUAUUAGAUCACAAUUAAUUUGGACUUUCUUUUAGAUAGCCAUACACAUUUACGUUACAUAUGUGAGCCCACAUAAUUAUUGAAAUAAUUCCAACAAUCCAUUCAUUUCAUUUAUUAGAAUUCUCAUGGAUAAAAUAAAUAAAUAAAACUAUUUUUUGCAUUCAAUUAAAACAUUCCGCAGUAUAUUUAUCUCCUGGAUUCCAAAGGGAGAUUUAUUUAUUUUAAAACCGAUAUUUAUUUAAAUAGGGAGCAUUGGACAACCAAAAUAUGGCCCAUGGUUUUAGGAACAAAUAAAGCCAUAUAGCUUCAUUAAAUAAUCAACUACUAACAACUAUACCCCACUAGGCCCAAUGACAAUGAAAUUAUUAUUAUUAUUAUUAUUAUUAUUAUUAUUAUUAUUAUUAUUAUUAUUAUUAUUAUUAUUAUUAUUAUUAUUAUUAUUAUUAUUAUUAUUAUUUAUUUUCUUAUUUUAUGUUUCUUUCUGGGAUAAUAAAUGAAAUUAGGACUUCUUUUACAUCUCCCAAUCCCCAUUAAUUUUAAAAAUCUACAAAAAAAUCACUCUUUUCGUUUCGAAUCAAUUCAUUUCAGUUUAAGUAACCGUCAAUUUUAAGAAUUAUUUGUGUUUCAUAUCAUCCGUCACUUUUGAAAUACAAAUAUUACAUUGAUUACCACUUUUUUUUUAAUUGACAUGCACUAAAAAAAUUCAAAACCCCUAAUUUGUCUCUUCAAAAAAUUGAUUUAUUUAUUAACUUGACUUCUUAAUUAGUGAAUAGAAAAUUAGUACUAUGAUCGUACCUAAUUAAUCAAAUUGCGUACCUAAUCAGCACGUUUAAUCUCGUCUUGUUCGGUAAUCUCAAAUUUUGUCGCACUUAAUGACAAAAACCAGAUCGUGUCACGUACAAGCAAUUAAACAAUUUAAUUAAAAAAAUAAAAUAUUAAUUUAUUCAAAAGCCCCUCGAUUUCAUAAAAUUAUAAUUCCGGAUGUUCGAAAGCAGCAGCGUACUAACGCCGAGCGACCGUUAAAUCAGGCUAACUGUGUGGCGUCGUUGGCUUGCAGACGGAAAACGUUUGCAUGGGAGCUAAUUUACAAGAAUGCCAUUGUCUUCUUAUUUAUCUUUAGCUAGUGGUGGAAAUCAACAAAUAUUAGAUCAUAAUUAAAAUUUUCAUUAAAAAAAUCCAAAUGAAGUGAAAAAUUAGUUACAAAUAAAUUGAUGAUCAGAAUUUCGAAAACUAGAAUGAAAAACUUGUUCCAUAAUUGAAUUUUUUUUAAUUGAAAAUGGCGGAAUCGGAAGUCUUAAAUUUUUUAUUCGCCUGUACAUAAUUCAAAAAUUAUUUUCCAAAUUUCACCCCUAUAUUGUUUUUAGUCUAAACAAUCUACCAAUUAUUUUUUAUACAUAUAUAAAAACAUUAGUUUUUUUUUUUUUUUUGUAAAAUAAUUUAAAUGAAAUAUUAAUUAUAAAGUCAUAGAAUGCAUAAAAGAUGGGGACAAAAUAAAUAUAUGUGCAGGUGCAUAGAAGAUAGGGCUGUCACCUUAAAUUUAUACAGUGUUAGUGGUUUGAUUUGAAUACCUGCCCAUAUUGUUGUUGCCUUCAUUAAAUGCCCAUUUUCAUAUUUAUUAUUUAUUUUUUAUUAUUAACAUAAAUAUAUAGGGCAUUAUGGGUAAAUAUUUCCCAUUCACUCUUUAAAUCCUUUUAUUUUAUCAUUUAUGUCAAUUUGGCUCUUCAACUUUACAAGAUUGACAUUUUUGUACUUCAUCUUUGUAUAGGAACUGUUUAUUUUUUAAAAUAUUUUUGGUCCAUAUUAUUUGUUACUCUAUAUUUUUUGUACUGCCUUAUUCAUUUUUUUUAUUAUCCUAAGUUUUAACCUUAACAAUUAAACUCAAGUAUCUUAUCACAUCGGUAAAUGAUCAGGGUUAUUUCAGUUUUUUUAAUGUAUUUUCUUUUCUCUCCAUAAAUUAAGAUAGGUUUAUUGGCAUUUUUAAUACUUAUACAAAACUAAAAACAAUAAUUAAUUAGAAACACAUAGAGUAUGUUUUGUGAAAAAGAAAUAUAUUUUGGAGAAAUCAAAACAAUACUAAAACAUUGUCUUUUCUAAUUUAAUUCCACAAAUCUUAUUAAAGACCAAACAUACUGAAAUUCAUGACAGCAUUCCCACAGAGAUGUAAUAAUAAGUUGCAACUUCCCUAAAAAGACAAGAUUAAAUAAUUAAUGCCAAAAAGUAAGUGUGGUAGGGACACUAAUUAUUAAUGCAAAAAAUUAAUUCGGAUUAACUUAUAAUAAUUCCAUUAAUUUUCAAUUGACUAGCUAAUUACUUGGUUAGUAAAAUCUUCAACUCAUUGUUUUAGAUCAUCAAUUUUAAAACAGUUAAAAUUUGGUAUCAAAUGUGAUAUUUGUAAAAAGAAUGCGAGGCUCUCGUUCUCUGGUCUCACGAGUAUUUGAUGGAACAAUGUAAAUUACGGUGACGCAAUAGCUCGUUAGGGUAGCGAACAUUGUUCUGGUGUCGAUUAUUGGAGUUGAAAUUUCUACACUGCGACUUCCAAUACUCGAUCUGAGGAUAUUACACUAAUUUACCACCCUGUAACCAGUUGAGCUAUACAUAUACCGGCUGUAUAAUUUUUCAAGUAUUUACUAAUUUUGACUUUCCUCGGAGAAAACAAGGAUUUAAAGAGGACUGUAAUAGUUAAGUAAAUGCAGGGGGAAGUAAAUUAACCUUAAUUAAAUGAGAAAGAAAAACCAUGAAGACGACCUUGUCUGUAAAAAUUCAGAGAGAGAGAGAGACACAGAACUGAAACCAAUUUACACCCCAUUUCUCUCUCCACAAAUGUAAGUCCAUUUUUUUGCUCUUACUUCCACACACACACACACACACACUCACCACACUGUUCUUUUUUUCAAGAAUCACCAUAACCAUAAAGAAGUGAUUUUUUUUUUCUUACAUAAUUUUGAUCUGGGUUUUUUUUCCUUUCUUCUGUGAUGUCAAUCCCAUAUCUCAUAAGCAUGUGACAUCUCUUUCACACACACACACACACACACACACACACACACACACACACACACACAGAGAAACAGUGAGCCCCCUUGUAAAAAAAGUGCUUAUCUUUAUUUCUUGGGUGUCAUCUUCUUGUUAUGAUUGUCAUUGUUGUUUAGCUGUUCUGAUGUGAAACAAGGGACCAAAAAAAGACACAAAGACAGCAAAAAUAAAACCCCCCAUUACUCUUUCCCAAUCUUACUUGCAUUUUUUUUUUCUUUCUGAGUACACAUAUUUGCAGUGGAUUAGUGUGUGUGUGUGUGUGUGUGUGUGUGUGUGUGUGUGUGUGUGUGUGCUGAUUGGGUUGUUUGGGGGUUUUCUAUUUUUGGUAAAGAUUUUGACUUUGUGAAGAAACUUCAACUCUAGCUUCAUCUCAAUGAUUUUCUUGAUCAGUUCUUGAUUUUCUUUAGUGUGGGAAAAAAAAUAGAAAACCAAUCUUGAUUUUAGGAAGGAAUCUCAAUUCCACUUUUCCCAGCAUUCCAAUUAUUGGAAUUACCAACCAAAAAAACAAAAAGGGCAGAGAGAGAGAGAGAGAGAGAUAUGAUUUUGGAUCUGUUAAAAAGAAGAUAGAAAGCUAGUGCUUGAAGAGGAGAGUGGGUAUUUUAUUCAUUUUUUUAUUUAUUUUAUUUUUAUUUUUACUUUUGCUUUUCGAGGGAAGAUAUAAUGAGUAGAGAAUCGAAGAAAAUGGUAAAACCGGACAAGGGUUGUGAUGGAGCUGAGAAGGUUGUUGUGGCUGUUAAGGCAGCAAAGGAGAUUCCUAAGACUGCUUUGAUUUGGGCACUAACUCAUGUCGUCCAGCCUGGCGAUUGCAUUACCCUUCUCGUGGUCGUCUCUUCACACACCUCCGGUAAGCUUCGUUUCUUAGCCGUUUGUUCGAACUUUCAUCGAGCUUUCGUACUUGUGUUUUAGUUUAGUGUGGUAAACAAUCAAAACAGAGCUUUAUUUCAGCCUAGUUUCAUAGCUUAUCGAACGAACAAUCUUGAAUCGAGUAUCGAGUAAAUUUUGUUUAUUUUUUUAUUCAGGUAGAAAAUUUUGGGGAUUUCCGAGAUUUGCGGGAGAUUGUGCAAGCGGACAUAGGAGGUCACAAUCUGGUACGAGUGCGGAUCAGAAAUUCGACAUAACAGAUUAUUGCUCUCAGAUGAUUCUUCAGCUUCACGAGGUUUACGAUCCUAAUAAAGUGAGUACAUACAUACAUACAUACAUACAUUCUUGUUAAAAUUUUAGACUCAACACAAAAAAAUGCCGAUCUUACGGUUUUUUCGUAAUAUUUUUCAGAUCAACGUGAAGAUAAAAAUCGUGUCGGGGACCCCACCUGGAUCCGUUGCUGCCGAGGCGAAGAAAAAUCGAGCCAGUUGGGUCGUUUUGGACAAGUAAUUAUCUCGUUUGUUUGUCACUAAAUUAAAAUUACUCUGAGAUGGAGGCCUAAUUGUAUAUUUAAAAAAUAUCAUGCAGACAUCUUAAACCCGAGGAAAAGCGGUGCAUGGAAGAGCUGCAAUGCAACGUCGUCGUUAUGAAGCGCUCUCAACCUAAAGUUCUCCGAUUAAAUUUAGUUGGGUCGCCCAAAACCGAACCGGAUUCGACGAAUUCCGAUAAUAAUAAUAAAAAUAAUGAUCAGACGAAAAAACAAGAACUCGGAAAAGCUGAUAGUUCUUCGAAUCCAUCAUCAACGCGGGCCCCACUAGUGACCCCGUCGAGCAGCCCCGAGGCAUUCACCGCAACAGAAGCCGGAACCUCGUCUGUCUCGAGCUCCGAUCCCGGAACUUCACCUUUCUUCAUCACACAAGCAACAAAUACUAAUAGCAACAACGUUUUCAAGAAAGCCGAAAAUUUAGCGACGAAAUUACAAAAUCGAGGCAUUGACCAUCAUCACGAAGAAUCCAGUUCCGACAGUGACACGGAAACGAACUUGUCGUCUCUCUCUUCGAGCUUUAGAUCUAAUCUUGAUUUCACGGGCGAUUUGAGAGAGGCAAUUUCUCUCUCUAGAGCAGGGGGGCCACCGCCGCUGGGUCCACCUCCUUUGUGCUCGAUAUGCCAGCACAAAGCGCCCGUGUUUGGGAAGCCGCCUAGGUGGUUCGCUUACGCUGAGCUGGCGCUAGCGACGGAUGGGUUUUCAGAGGCAAACUUUUUGGCCGAGGGCGGGUUCGGUUGUGUGCACCGUGGGGCCCUCCCGGACGGGCGGGCGAUUGCCGUGAAGCAGCACAAGCUAGCGAGCUCGCAAGGCGAUCGGGAAUUUUGCUCGGAAGUCGAGGUUUUGAGCUGCGCUCAGCACCGUAAUGUUGUUAUGUUGAUCGGUUUUUGCAUCGAGGAUGGUAGGAGGUUGUUGGUGUAUGAGUACAUAUGCAACGGAAGUCUCGAUUCACAUCUCUACGGUAUGAUCAAGCUGCGGCCCCCCACAGCUCCAUUCCGUAAUAACUGUCAUUUAAAUCUUUUUUGCGCACGUGUUGAGAAAGUUUUUAAAUAUGGUCGAAUUUUUGGGGAAAAAAUGCGUUAAAAAGACUGAAAUAGCCUUUACUAUUUAAUGAGGUUAUAAGAGAGAGAAUCUUUAAUAGAGCUCGGUUAAUAAGGGUAAACCAGUAAAAAGAAAUGCAUUUGAAUUUUGGAUCAUUAUUGGAACUCUAGAAUGACAGAUAAUAUGGAGCAAAAUAGAUUCUCUAAUGGUUCAUCUUAUAAUUUACAGGGCGAAAUCCGGAUAUACUAUAUUGGGGGGCAAGGCAAAAAAUAGCGGUUGGGUCGGCACGAGGAUUGAGGUAUCUUCACGAAGAAUGCAGAGUCGGUUGCAUUGUGCAUCGAGACAUGCGCCCCAACAACAUUCUCAUCACCCACGAUUUCGAACCCUUGGUACAAAUUAAUCAUCUACAUUAUAUUUUUCAAAUAUUAAAAGAGUCAAUACUAUAUAUGUUUUUCUUUAUGAUAAUAAUUGCUUUAUUUGUUUCUUUUUUGUUUUGGCAAGGUGGGAGACUUUGGUCUAGCUCGGUGGCAACCCGAUGGAGAAACCGGAGUCGAGACCCGAGUUAUCGGAACGUUCGGGUAAAUUUCCACUCACCUCACCCAACACUAAAAAUUCAAUAACAAAAAAAAAAAAAAAUUAAAAACUACAAUGUUUCGUUUAGGUAUUUAGCACCCGAGUACGCGCAAAGCGGCCAGGUCACAGAAAAAGCCGACGUUUACUCGUUUGGAGUUGUGCUUGUGGAGCUAUUUACGGGACGAAAAGCGGUGGAUCUCAAUAGGCCUAAGGGGCAGCAGUGUCUUACAGAAUGGGUAUAAAUCAAUCUCGAAAUGCUAAGAAUUAUUAUGUUUAAUUAAUUACCAGAGCUAGGGGCAGUAUAGUAAAAUCGUUUUUCGUGAUUUUUUUUUUUUUUUUUGGAUAUAGGCUCGGCCAUUGUUGGAAGCUUAUGCGAUUGAUGAACUGGUUGAUCCACGAUUGAGAAGUAACUACUCGGAGAACGAAGCUUAUUGCAUGGUGCAUGCCGCUUCUUUGUGCUUACGUAGGGAUCCUCAGACGAGACCUCGUAUGUCUCAGGUAAGAAAAUUAUUUAAUUAAUUAAUUAAUUAAAAUGUUGCAUUAUUAAUGUAAGAUUGAUUAUAAUAAGUUUAUAUCUGCAAUUUUGUGUUGCUAUAAUUAAUAUCAAUAGGUUCUUAGAAUACUAGAAGGCGACGUGGUGGAUUCCGGUCAAAUGUCGACGCCUGAGGGUGAUGUGGGAAGCCGGAGUGGAAGAAUCCGGUCAGAUCAUCAGCUACAAAAAGGCGGCUCCACCAUCGGAAGUGAGUCGUUCCGGCGGUUUAGGUCGAAGCUUUCGCUGUACUCGAGAUAAAUUUCAGGGAUGUAGAUUUUGCUCUGCUUUUUGUGGGCCUUAUAAAACUCGGUCCAGAAAUUCGAAGCUGGACAGAAAAUAUUUUAAACCCGGCCUAAGUUACUUUACGUUGUACAAAAUUAGUGGUUGAUUAAGUUUUUCUAAUUACUUAAUUAUUUAAUGAAAUAUAAUUAUUUGGUUAAAAUUUAGUGAAAAAGGAAAAAAAGUUCAACUAAUAAUUUUAAAAUUCAUUAAUUUAUUCUAAUGAUGUUUAAAUCAUUUUAAUUUGAACCAUAUUUUAAAUUAUUAUUAUUAUGGAUUAAAAAAAUUUACUUAAUUAAAAAGAAUUUGAUGAAAAGAGGAGAUUUACAAUUAUGAUGUGAUGUACUACUACCAAAAUUUAAUUAUCAUUCAAUUAUAAUCAACUUUCAAAGCAUUUGCCAAACUCACCUAAUUUUCAAAGUUGUAAUUAAAUCGAUUUUAGGGGUAAAAUCGUAAUUUAGAAUCAUAUUUUCAACUUUUCAAUUUCCCACACUUUUUUCCCGCAGAAGAAUCUUCAGAAAGAAAGCUGCAUUUCCAAAAAAAAAAAACAAUACUAAAUAAUAAAAUGCAUCUGAAAAGAGAUUUUAAUAAAAAUAUUAUUAAUUAAAUUUAAAUAUACUUUAUUUUAUUCAAAGGAAAAACAGAGAAAAAAAAAUUAGUAUGAAGAUCGAGAGGAAGAAGAUGGACCAGCAGCCUCCUCGUCAAUGGACAAAUCGUCGGUCUUCCUCAUUGCGCCGUGGAUCAGAACCGCCGCUACUCCGGUGAGCAUCGCCCCGACGAUGUUGCUGACGGCGUUAGUGAGCAUCAGGACGGCGAUGGUCGCCGCCGCCAGCGCGGCCAGGACCACACUAUCGGAAACCGUCCGGCCGAAGAGCGCCAGCGGCUUGUCGCGGAGGAAGUAGAGGAACAGCCACGCCGCCAUCAUCGCGGCGAGGACGACGAGCGAGAUCGGGUGCCACAGGAGGCUGAGGAACAGGAUCGCGAGGACGCCGACGGCGUAGUUCAUGCGGAAGUAGGCGGCGUUCGUCCCCACGCGCGCCGCCGCGUCGGCGAGGGACGUCGGGAUGCCGAAGCGGUGGGAAUCGAACAUCUCCCGCCAUGGGCGGCAGGUGCCGAGGCCGGCCGUGAUGGUCUCCCUGGCGCGUGAGAUGUACUCGAGAUUCACGGCGGGGGUGCCGGCGGCGGGGAAUGAUGACGUGGGGAUAGUGCCGUAAGUAGUCAUUUUUUUUUUGUCAGGCCACCGGAAUUCGAAACGGCGGCUGAUUGUUUUGUGAUUGGUGGCGGUGCGAAAUUGGGAAUGGGAAAUCUGCAACUGUUGUAGGGUUCUGGAAUUUGGGUGUUUAUUUAAUAUAUAUUAUUAUAUUAUUAUUAUUAUUAUUAUAUUAUAUAUGCGCAGGAGAAGAAGUUGAGGGACGGUGUUAAUGGAGAACGUGAAGUCUAGUAUGUGGAUUAAACGAAUGUGUAUAUAUAAAUACUAUGCUUAAAAAAUAUGAUAAAAAAUCUAGGCUUAAAAAAUAAUAAUAGCACUUUUAAUUAUGCAUGAUUUAUUGCGUUUCGAAGGUGCGAAGUGAUGUUAAUUUGUUUUGAUAGUUCAAAGUACCAAAAUGGUAUAUUUCAAGAAUGCAAAGUGGGAUUACACAGAUAAAAAACUACUAAAAAUAAUCCUACAUAGUUAACAAGCUCAUUUAAUAUAUUAAGCCGUGUUUGACUGUCAAUAAUUCAGUGUUACUAACUAAAUCCAAGAACUAACUAACACAUUCUGAAGCCCGCAUUCAAAUGGUAUCAUCUAAUUAAAUUAGAAGUUACACUAUCCUCCAACUAAUUUAUAUAAUUCCUCCGUUCCAUAAUAUCUGUCACUUUUAAGAAUUUUUUUUGUUCCAUAUUAUUUGUUACUUUAGAAUUCCAACAGUGCAUUAAUUACAUAUUUUUCAAUUAUGUCUUUAUUAACUCUUCAACACUCUCUCUGCAUUAAUCAAUAAAUAAGGGUAUUUUGAUAUAACAAUAUAUAUUUUCCUAAAAUCAAUACAUAUUUAUUGAGUUUCUUAAGAUUUGUGCAAAUGUGAAAAACGACUAUUAUUUAGGAAUGGAGGGAAUAUACAUUUACUAAAAGAGACGAUUAUAUCCCUAUAAUGAAAUGGUAUAAAGAAAUAUCACAUCUUCAUGGGUUAGCAAUUUCGCAAAAAUAUUCACCGGAAUCAAAAAGAAUUCGUGAAAAAUAGUAAGGAAGUCAGCGUAAGACGGAAACCGUCAAAUUUUUUUGAUAAUUACAGAUGGGUGGGGAUGGUUUCAUAAUUUAGCCUAACUUCAGGAAGUUUUCGUAAUUUAGCCUCGCACAUAACUAUUGUUAUUUUUUUAUAAAAAGAAAAUAAAUAUUGUUAAAUUAGAGAACUUUAAGAAACAACAUAAUGCAACAACUGGAGAAACCUUUCUAUCACGUGGGCACGCUAAAGACUGUCAAAUGCACAACUACCUAAUAAUUAGAUUUAGAUACCUUUCUUAAUUCCAAGUGAAAAAUGAAAAUAUCAUAAAUGUUUACAGCAAGUUAAUACAUAAACUCAUAAACAUUCACAAUAUAGCAUAUGAAUAUUAAACCACCUAAAUAUUAAUUAUUUCUAAAAUAAAAUUUUAACACAUAAACAAAUAACUUAGAAUUGGAUCAUCACUAAGUAGUAUAACAGAAAUAUUUAAAAAUUAUCACAAAGUUAUUAUCUUCUAUUUAUAUAUAAAAAGAAUAUCAUCUACACACAAUAUUUCGAAAAGAUAAAUCAUAGAACAAACAGCAUUAUGCGGAACUGCCGGAGAACAACACGGCUUCAAAGAGACAUCACUCAAUAAUAUAAUUAAGAAAGAACAUAUAUAACUUGCAAUAGACAAAUUCAUAAACGAGAACGUGAAAUGAACACGAAAAUCAUAAUCAAAUUACCAAUUAGAUGUUGCUCUAAAUAGUAAACACUUAGGGUUCCUCGUUUCAUAUAUCAUUACGUUAAGUUCGAACUCUUGUAAAUGACAUGCCUCAUUGUUUUCAGGUGUCAAUUAUAAGUGAAUAUGACCCUAUAUAUAUCUAGAAUAUGUGAAUAUGUUAUGUUAAGUAGAAUAUGUUAUGAGUUAUGACGCAUGUCGAUUUUUAAAUCAGUGAUGUGUGUAGUUAAUUUCAAAUCGAAGAAAAGAAAGAAAGAAAAAACCCACCGGCGAAACUGAUCACUUACCUUUCUGGAAGAUUUUCGUAUAAGCAGGAACUCCCAAUCUGCAAAGAAUUAAAAAUUGCUUUAUUAGAACAACAAAAAGAAAAACGAUAAGAUUUUAAACCAAAAUUAAAUAAACCCCGAGUUGUAGAAACAUUCAAUAUGACCCGAAAAGCACUAGCAAUUUCACCAAAUUAAUAACAUAGCAUGAAAAACUUGACGAUCCUAAAUACUACUCGUCGUCUUCUCCUGUAUAACUGUCGAUUUACUGAAAAAAAUUCACCCAACCGGACCAUGUAUGUAAUCCUAGAAACCCCAUCACACAUCCACUUAAACCCCAACGAAUCUAUUAAUUCGUGUACAAAUCAUUCGAAAACUAUUGAAUUAAUCACAGUCCAGCUUCUCCCCUGACUAUGCCAAAAUUGAAGGUAUCUAUCGACCGAGUAUUUCAAAUACAUAUUCUACAUGCUAACCCUAAGAAAAAGUCUAUACUAUCGCUCUCUCAUUACUAAACCCAUAAAACCUCAAGCGAUAUAUCCUCGAAAACCUCAACAGGAGAUGCUGACAUGAAACCAGUGUUAGUUGAUCGUAAAACCUAUCAUCUUCAUAUUCAAACAGAUACUACUCUGGUUUGAUUGCAUCAGCGUAAUAAAUUAAACUACAAUAUUUACUACCAAACAAGAUACACGAGGCAAGAAAGUAUUAUCUAAAGAAAAGAUUUUCUUCCUUUACACAUUUCCUUCUCUCAACUCUCACUAUAUCUCGUACCUAGCUGAGACAUUCUUCUUACUUAACAUAAAACGAAAUUCUGAAGCACUAUCUCCAUUGAUCGCCUCAUCUCCAUUCAUCUCGUUUAUGUUACUUGACGAUCUUAGUCUUCAAAAU
rnacentral:lncRNA from 1 species